UGUUGACAUUAUAGCUGCGCAGGCACUUUGUUGACUCUAGAGAACCUCCCCCGUGGCGGUGACUUUGCAUCCGGAUGUCAUCCAUAUCAACUUUCAAUGCCAGUUUCUGUGCCUACCAUGGUGACCACGGGUAACGGGGAAUCAGGGUUCCAUUCCAUACAGCGACCCUGAGAAAUGGCUACCACAUGCAAGGAAGGCAGCAGGCGCGCAAACGACCCACUCCCGACGCGGGAAGGUAGUGACGACA